AAUCGAAAACUGUUUCUCACCCUAAAUCGAAAACGUUCUUCACCCCAAAAUCAAAAAUGUUCUUCACUCCGAAAUCGAGAAUCAUUUUUCACUCCGAAAUCGAGAAUCGUUCUUCACCCUCAAAUUGAAAAUGUUCAAUCGUUCACACCAAUCGUUGACAAAAAUGGUUCUAUCACUGUGAGAUUCCUUUUUCAUCUUUCAUUCACUGUAUAGAGUACGUUGGGGAUUUAGAACCAAAAACUGAUCUGAGUUUCAUAUCUUCAAGUUCAGGAUGGAGCCGCUCUACCAUCAACUGCAAGGACUUUAACUUUUGGCGGUGAGGUACAAAAUAUAUUUUUAUAUUGCACGCGUUUCUGGUGUUUUGAAAUAGUUAUGGACUUGGAAAAUAUAUGCGAAAUCAGAGUGAGUUCUACUACUUUAUCUCAUUUUGCCAAAUUAUUACUUUAUUAUAUUAACUCAUACGAUAUGCCAUUUUUAAUAAUUCAUAGUUGAGAGAAAACCGACAGUUGUGAACAAUACAAGAGGAGCUAUUUAUAGCAUGAGUUUACAUCUCAUGGGUUUUAUACCUAAAGCUGCUGUCUCUUUUUUUCUUCCUUUUAUUUCUCUCUCUCUCUCAGCUUUGUUAUCUCUUCAUUGCCCUCGUGCAUGCAUUUGCAGUUAUGUCAAUGGUGGAAGGUCAAAACUCCUCUAUAUGAACAUGCUAUUUUAGUCUAUAGCACCGCCGUAGCCGGCAUCUCUUCACAGAUUGGCCAUGGCGGUUAUCAAAAAAACCUGCUACACCAUUCCGGCAUGGCUGCCAUUUAACAACAAUAUACUUUUGCCACUUUGUAGUUCUUAGAAAGUAAAUUAUAUAUAGAUCAAUGAUAGCCGAACAUAUUGAAAUGGUACACGUGUCUGAUGAAUUAAAAAAAUGCAUCAAAUCACAGACUACCAGUGGUGAAACUCUAAAUUUAGCUUGCUCCAAACUUGAAUUCAAUAUAAGUUAUCUAGUAUUUUCUCUAUAGGAGGGGCAACUUGAUGCUGUUGCAGUAGUUCAUUCUUACGAGGAUAAAGCGGCACCUGGAUCUCACAGGACAAGGCUUACUGCUCGCAAUGUUCCUCCCAUGGGGUUGUUCUAUCCAAUGCUUUUUGUUCCUGACGUGUAUCCUCCUCCACCACGGACUUGGUUAGUGCGUUCAUGAAUUUUCUCUCUGCUGUGACAAUGUUUGUGAACUAUUUUACGUUUACACGACCCUGGUGAUUUCCCUUGCUAGGUUUAGUGACUACGAGGAUAUGCUAGAAGUUACAUGGCAUAUUGACUUUUCCCGAAGGUUUGACAUGUCAGAUACUUUCUAUCCUAAUGUCAAUGGAGGACUGCCCAUGUGGGAAAGUUAUCCUGUUUAUUCAACUAAGCCGAAAAAAGAAGAAAAUCUUGGCCUAAAACCCUUGUUUUUAUGAUUUCAGUGAUGUUGUUUUUAUGAUUUAAGUACUAGAAUGCAAAUUUUGAAAGGUGUGCUAACUAGGAGAGUUGAGAAACCCUUGUUUUUUACACUUGUUAUUAUUUUGAUACUAAUUGAUUUAUGAGAAAGCUUGAUGAUAAAAAUUACACAUUGGAACGUGUGUAUACUACAGAAGCUGAAAUCUUACAAAUCGAAGAGGCAACUGCAAGUCAAGGAAAUAACUCGAUAGGGAUUAGCACUGUAAGUAAAAUAUUAAGCAUUAUUGUAUGAUUGAUUGUCUUCACUUUAAAGACUGUUUCGGUUUCAGUAAUCAUGUAUUUCUACAGGUGGAAGAAAACCAAGUAAAACAUGCAGAAAACACAAGGCAGGAAGACUCAACAUGAUACGAACAAGGAGAAAGUGAUUGUACUUGAGUUGAUUUGAUAACAGAUGGAUUGUGUCUGGGAAGGAAGAAUAUAAUGGAAAAAUUUAGAUGCAGAUACAUGGAAGUGAAUAUAGCAGGACUUUCAAAGUUAUGGAUACAUCAACAUACAAAUAUAAGAAAAGGAUUUUUAUUUUAUUUUAUUUUAUGUGAAAAUUCAAAUAUAGAAAAUAAUAUGGAGUUGGAUAUAUACUAAGAUG